CCUACGGGUGGCUGCAGUGGGGAAUAUUGGACAAUGGGCGAAAGCCUGAUCCAGCCAUGCCGCGUGUGUGAAGAAGGCCUUCGGGUUGUAAAGCACUUUCAGUGGGGAAGAAAGCCUUGGGGCUAAUACCCUCGAGGAAGGACAUCACCCACAGAAGAAGCACCGGCUAACUCCGUGCCAGCAGCCGCGGUAAUACGGAGGGUGCGAGCGUUAAUCGGAAUUACUGGGCGUAAAGCGCGCGUAGGCGGUCUGAUAAGCCGGUUGUGAAAGCCCCGGGCUCAACCUGGGAACGGCAUCCGGACCUGGCAGGCUAGAGUGCAGGAGAGGAAGGUAGAAUUCCCGGUGUAGCGGUGAAAUGCGUAGAGAUCGGGAGGAAUACCAGUGGCGAAGGCGGCCUUCUGGACUGACACUGACGCUGAGGUGCGAAAGCGUGGGUAGCAAACAGGAUUAGAUACCCCAGUAGUC
rnacentral:rRNA from 1 species